rnacentral:lncRNA from 1 species
CAGCUCUUCAACCUAACAGUUUAAAAAGGUACGAGAAAGCAAUGAUCAUCUCCCUUAAAACAAGGACGCCUUUGGGAGAGUGGUCAUGCCAUCAGGAUGCCAGGGGAUCUUUGAACACAGGUGCCCAGGGUUAGGAGAUAGAAAGGAAUAUGCAUCAUCUGCAUCAUCUGCAUCAUCUGCACCAUCCUCAUCAUCCGCAUCAUCCCAAUCCUCGCUUUGCAUCACCAGAUGAAGCAACUCAGCCAGAGUGCAAGGACAGAGUGACCGUCUUCACCAUCUUCACAUCUAAUGAUAUCCUGAAGAAGAUAAUUGAGGGUGACACCUUAUGUGGAAUAUAUAUGCUUCCCACAGCCCGCGCUGCUUGGUGUCGGUCUCUGAAUUCAUAACACAAACGAACAGAAGACAAAAAUCGUUUGCAGAUUCUGAAAGGAAGGAUUUCGACAGGAGAGAUGUUUAGAACGUGCUAGUCUGGGAAGCUGGAGAGGAGGCGGU